rnacentral:rRNA from 1 species
CUACGUGCCAGCAGCCGCGGUAAUACGGAAGGUCCAGGCGUUAUCCGGAUUUAUUGGGUUUAAAGGGAGCGUAGGCUGGAGAUUAAGUGUGUUGUGAAAUGUAGACGCUCAACGUCUGAAUUGCAGCGCAUACUGGUUUCCUUGAGUACGCACAACGUUGGCGGAAUUCGUCGUGUAGCGGUGAAAUGCUUAGAUAUGACGAAGAACUCCGAUUGCGAAGGCAGCUGACGGGAGCGCAACUGACGCUUAAGCUCGAAGGUGCGGGUAUCGAACAGGAUUAGAUACCCUGGUAGUCCGCACAGUAAACGAUGGAUGCCCGCUGUUGGUACCUGGUAUCAGCGGCUAAGCGAAAGCAUUAAGCAUCCCACCUGGGGAGUACGCCGGCAACGGUGAAACUCAAAGGAAUUGACGGGGGCCCGCACAAGCGGAGGAACAUGUGGUUUAAUUCGAUGCAACGCGAAGAACCUUACCUACUCUCGACAUCCAGAGAACAUUC